GUCGUUGCAUCUCCUUGUUCGGGCGGUGCUCGGCGUUCGACGUCACCGGUCUUCUAGCCAUCAUUGAUCCUUUUUUCAUUUUCCAUUGGUUUUGUCUUGUCUUCCCACACACCUGUUUUCUAUCCCAUUCAUUACCUGUUGUGUAUUUAACCCUCUGUUUCCCCUCAUGUCUUUGUCAGAGAUUGUUUUAUUGUCAGUGUAGUGUGAUUGUUGUAUAGGUGCGCGUCGGGUCCUCGUACCCAUGUUUGUUUGUUUAUGUACAUUUAGUGUUAUGGAGCACACUCCGUGGACUUUAUUAAAAGACUCCAUUUUACACUCAAUUUGACUCUCCUGCGCCUGACUUCCCUGCCACCUAUUACACCUAUGCAUGACACCGGGAAGGCAACUACAUCCACUUCUCUUGCUCCAAGGGCCAGUACAUCAAGAGCCAGACCAGUGCAAACUUUUGGGCCAUUCACUGAGGAGGAAGGAUCCAGUAUUGAGACAAGGACCGGUUGAUUGGAAUCCACUCCAGUGUUCAGCAUUGAUAAAGAUAUAGAUCAUUUCUUACCAUUGGGCGUACCAGAGGUGAUAUGUGGUUGCCCAACAAACACAAUCCAUGUUGGCCCUGGGAAACAUAUCAUCCCCGUAGGAAUAAAUGGUACGUGCAAUAUCUACAAGAACCAGUGAUGUAGCAAAGCAAUGUAAAACAACAUUAAUUCAGACUGUACAUUUUUUUCCCCUCAAGGUCGCUAGAAUAGAAUGUCACAGUACCUGUGCUGACCUGCACAACCUGUCUUAGCACAUUGACGGCAAACUUGAUAGAUCUGAUAAAGAGUGGGUACUGGUCUUCCACUGUCAACUGUGACACCAUAUACCAGGUAGAUCUGUUCAGCUCUUUUGAGGUGCUGAAAGUGUCAGCCCAAGGAAUGUUCCGUUGGGUGUUAUGUGGAUUUUGGAGCAGCGAACUGACUUCUUUGGCAGGGUAACAAUAAAU